AACGGAGGGAACAGUAACUUCACAGCUCCCAGAGGAUCUUCUGCAUAAAAGAAAUUCGGACAUUUUACAGAUUGUGGAUAAAGAUGUUACACCACUGGGUGUUUUUUAUAUAAUGAUUACGCUGGACUGCCUUAAAGGUUGCUGGACCGUGAAUGUGUUUAGAGGUCACUAGACCAUAUGUUUAAGUGUCACUGGACGUACAUCUUAUAAGAUGUUUUACGUAUUUGCAUUGUGUAGUGUUGGUCACAGGACCAUAUAGAAAUCAUAACGAUUAUUUUGUUGCAGAACAUGAUAUUGUCCAAGAUUCUGUCAGGCAGUGUAUCUUGUGUUUUUGAUGGACUUUAUUAUUUUAGUUUGAUGGACUUAACCAGAUCAGAUACAUAUUGUAUUAGGAAAAUAAAAUUUAAGGUGGUCACUGCGCCAUUCAGUAUCCAAA